GACAAGGGAGGAGGCUGAUAAGAGGCAAAUCCUACUGAGGUGAAAGAGUGCUUUUCAUCAUGCCAAUGUCCAUACACAAGUGGCUCAGCUGUGAAGACUGCCCUCUGGGGAAGCACCAGGACAUUCACAUCUCAGGACUCCCACCACUGAGAAGCCCAGGAUGAUUAAGGAUCAACAGGAUGCCACUGGAUCCUUAAGUGGUGACUGAUCUGUCUGCAUCCCUCCUCUCUUUUCCAUUUCUUUCUCUCUCUCCACCUCACAUUUUGUUGUUCAAUUAAAUCUGUGAAAAACUGCA